rnacentral:rRNA from 1 species
UACGUAGGGGGCAAGCGUUGUCCGGAUUUACUGGGCGUAAAGAGCGUGUAGGCGGCCACGCAGGUCCGUUGUGAAAACUGGAGGCUCAACCUCCAGCUGUCGACGGAAACCGUAUGGCUAGAGUCCGGAAGAGGAGAGUGGAAUUCCUGGUGUAGCGGUGAAAUGCGCAGAUAUCAGGAAGAACACCGGUGGCGAAGGCGGGUCUCUGGGCCGAUACUGACGCUGAGGAGCGAAAGCGUGGGGAGCGAACAGG